CACGUAGGGGGCAAGCGUUGUCCGGAUUUAUUGGGCGUAAAGAGCUCGUAGGCGGUUCGCUAAGUCGGGUGUGAAACCUCCAGGCUCAACCUGGAGACGCCACCCGAUACUGGUGUGACUCGAGUAUGGGAGAGGGAAGCGGAAUUUCCGGUGUAGCGGUGAAAUGCGUAGAUAUCGGAAGGAACACCAGUGGCGAAGGCGGCUUCCUGGACUAAUACUGACGCUGAGGUGCGAAAGCGUGGGGAGCAAACAGG
rnacentral:rRNA from 1 species